rnacentral:rRNA from 1 species
CACGGGGGGAGCAAGCGUUGUUCGGAAUCACUGGGCGUAAAGGGAGCGUAGGCGGGCUUCUAAGUUAGGUGUUUAAUCCCGGGGCCCAACCCCGGUCGUGCACUUAAAACUGGAAGUCUUGAAUAGUGGAGAGGUCAGUGGAAUUCCUGGUGUAGCGGUGAAAUGCGCAGAUAUCAGGAAGAACACCCGUGGCGAAGGCGGCUCUCUGGGACGGUACUGACGCUGAGACGCGAAAGCGUGGGGAGCGAACAGG